AUUGAACGCUGGCGGCAUGCUUUACACAUGCAAGUCGAACGGCAGCGGGGUAGUGCUUGCACUACUGCCGGCGAGUGGCGAACGGGUGAGUAAUAUAUCGGAACGUACCGAGUAAUGGGGGAUAACCAAUCGAAAGAUUGGCUAAUACCGCAUACGUCCUGAGGGAGAAAGCGGGGGAUCGCAAGACCUCGCGUUAUUCGAGCGGCCGAUAACUGAUUAGCUAGUUGGUGGGGUAAAGGCCUACCAAGGCGACGAUCAGUAGCGGGUCUGAGAGGACGAUCCGCCACACUGGGACUGAGACACGGCCCAGACUCCUGCGGGAGGCAGCAGUGGGGAAUUUUGGACAAUGGGGGCAACCCUGAUCCAGCCAUGCCGCGUGUAUGAAGAAGGCCUUCGGGUUGUAAAGUACUUUUGUUAGGGAAGAAAAGGGAAGUGCUAAUACCACUUUUUGCUGACGGUACCUAAAGAAUAAGCACCGGCUAACUACGUG
rnacentral:rRNA from 1 species